UCGGAUGUGGCGUACGGGACACCCUCGCUCAUCAUGCCCAGACUUUCUUUCGAUGCUUGCAGCGAGAGCCCGGGGUUCGACCCCCCGCGUCUGAA